UACGUAGGGUGCGAGCGUUGUCCGGAAUUAUUGGGCGUAAAGCGCUCGUAGGCGGUGUGUCGCGUCGGCCGUGAAAACCUGCAGCUUAACUGUGGGCUUGCGGUCGAUACGGGCAUCACUGGAGUUCGGCAGGGGAGACUGGAAUUCCUGGUGUAGCGGUGAAAUGCGCAGAUAUCAGGAGGAACACCGGUGGCGAAGGCGGGUCUCUGGGCCGAUACUGACGCUGAGGAGCGAAAGCGUGGGGAGCGAACAGG
rnacentral:rRNA from 1 species